UNUGCUGUGAAAGGCUGGGGCUUANCCCUGGUUUUGCAGUGGGUACGGGCUAACUAGAGUGCAGUAGGGGAGACUGGAAUUCCUGGUGUAGCGGUGGAAUGCGCAGAUAUCAGGAGGAACACCGAUGGCGAAGGCAGGUCUCUGGGCUGUAACUGACGCUGAGAAGCGAAAGCAUGGGGAGCGAACAGGAUUAGAUACCCUGGUAGUCCAUGCCGUAAACGUUGGGCACUAGGUGUGGGGGACAUUNCACGUUUUCCGCGCCGUAGCUAACGCAUUAAGUGCCCCGCCUGGGGAGUACGGCCGCAAGGCUAAAACUCAAAGAAAUUGACGGGGGCCCGCACAAGCGGCGGAGCAUGCGGAUUAAUUCGAUGCAACGCGAAGAACCUUACCAAGGCUUGACAUAUACUGGACUGCGUCAGAGAUGGCGUUUCCCUUCGGGGCUGGUAUACAGGUGGUACAUGGUUGUCGUCAGCUCGUGUCGUGAGAUGUUGGGUUAAGUCCCGCAACGAGCGCAACCCUCGUUCUAUGUUGCCAGCACGUGAUGGUGGGGACUCAUAGGAGACUGCCGGGGUUAACUCGGAGGAAGGUGGGGAUGACGUCAAAUCAUCAUGCCCCUUAUGUCUUGGGCUUCACGCAUGCUACAAUGGCCGGUACAGAGGGUUGCGAUACUGUGAGGUGGAGCUAAUCCCUAAAAGCCGGUCUCAGUUCGGAUUGGGGUCUGCAACUCGACCCCAUGAAGUCGGAGUCGCUAGUAAUCGCAGAUCAGCAACGCUGCGGUGAAUACGUUCCCGGGCCUUGUACACACCGCCCGUCAAGUCACGAAAGUUGGUAACACC
rnacentral:rRNA from 1 species